rnacentral:rRNA from 1 species
ACGUGAAAAAGCGUCCUGCGUGUAGCGAACUGCGAUGGGCAUACUGUAACCAUAAGGCCACGUAUUUUGCAAGCUAUUUAACUGGCGGCGAUUGCGUACCCGACGACCAAAAUUAGGGUCAACGCUACCUGUAGGAAGUGUCCGCAUAAAGUGCACCGCAUGGAAAUGAAGACGGCCAUUAGCUGUACCAUACUCAGGCACACAAAAAUACUGAUAGCAGUCGGCGUGUGAAUCAUUAGCCUUGCGACCCUCGGCAGCAAGAACCAUACGACCAAUAUCACGAAAAUAGUCACGCAAAGCAUUGGGAUUAUCAUAAAACGCCUCUAAUCGGUCGUCAGCCAACGUGAGAGUGUCAAAAACGAUAAACCAACCAUCAGC